UACGAAGGGUGCAAGCGUUAAUCGGAAUUACUGGGCGUAAAGCGUGCGUAGGCGGUUGGCUAAGUCAGAUGUGAAAGCCCUGGGCUCAACCUGGGAAUGGCAUUUGAAACUGGCCGGCUAGAGUGUGAUAGAGGAUGGCGGAAUUCCCGGUGUAGCGGUGAAAUGCGUAGAUAUCUGGAGGAACACCGGUGGCGAAGGCGGCAUCCUGGACCAAUUCUGACGCUGAUGAGCGAAAAGCCAGGGGAGCAAACGGG
rnacentral:rRNA from 1 species